UCUGCUUCUCACUCGUCGAGGCUGAUGAGAAAGCACAGACUCUGUGGCUCAGGUUUCUUGAAAGUCUUCCACUGACGUGACUGAGAGUUCAUGACUUGGGAUGUGGUGACACAAAGAGACAAGACACCUCUCUCUCAGCUUGGAGAGAGGCUGUGCGACAUUCUGCUGCCGAGAUAAGGAACUUCCAAUUUGGCACGAGCUGCAAACGGCGAUGAAGAUGGAGGGCCACUGCGUGCACCUCUGGCUUUUAAUUCCCCCUGCCCUACUUCCUCCUCCUUAGUCCUGCUCUCCCCUCCCUCAAAGCCCAUCCGUGCUGUGUGCAGUGCCCUCAAAGAGCAAGUGGGAGGAGGCUCUCUGUGUGUGUGUGUGUCUGUGUUUGUGUAUGAAAGAAGGGCAGCCCCUCUCCCCAAGAAGAGACCCUCUCAACAACUCCAGGCCACCCUGCCGCAGCUUAUAGGUUCUCGGUGCCAGGAAGCCAUUUUGAUGGAGUCAAAUGCCGUUUUGUAAGAUGGCCGCAUUGACGUGAGAUUAUUAUGAUGGGGAAUUUCAAGAACUUGGAAAACGUUGAUUUUUUUGGUCACGUUUACUACGGAUGAAGGCAUGUCUGCUUUUCCUGUUUCACAUGGACCUGAUUUUCAAACCAUCUUUCUUCAGGAUACCCUACACAGCAAGAACUUUCUUGGGACUCUAGGCUUUGCAUUUUCUGGAUUGUCUAAUGAGACAGGGGAACUGGGCCAGAAAAGCCCGUCUCUGGACACGGAAAUGGGACAGUGUUGGGUCUCCAUCUUUCUAGAGUCUGCCAUGCUUUGCUGAUUUGGAUCACACAUGGAAACCAAGAGCAGCUCUGUACAGCUAGGUGCUGAAGGAGGAGGAGGAGGAAAACAACCAUGGCAAAGAAGCAAAUGUCUGAACUGUGAACUCUCUUAUCUGUAGUCAUUGAUGUCAUUAAGAGGGAUAUGGUAUCAUUGAUAUGGCUUGUGACUCAAUGGAGAUAGACAACUGGGGGACCUGAGCUGAUUGUUGGGGGCUGAUUUCACCUAGGAUCACUUAACCUUUUUGGCACAGGCAUCAGAAAAUGACUGGGCCAGUAGCUUUUCAAAAUUAUACUCAUUGGAGACACUUUGACUUGGCUACACCAUAUUGAGUGUGUUUUUGGGUGCAAACUCAGGUGACACAUGACACUAUGCAGGCCCGUUAAACAUCAGUGUAGCUUCUGAAAUGUGUACUCUUUCAAUAAGGAGUCCCCCAUGCCUCCAGAUUCCAAGGGAAGAUCAUUGAUUGGGGAAGCUUGUCUGCUGUUAAAGAUCUUAACUCAGGAACCUAGGAUUCCCUAGGACCUAGGACUGGGUCUUACACCUGUCUGCAAGAGUGCUGCAGUACUCAACAUGAAUUGCAGCUUCUGGGUCAAGCACAAGGGAAGCCCCACUUAGAGAGCAUUGCAACUAAUCCAGUUUUGAUGUUUUGGUUGGGCUCCACAACAUGACAACACAUGGCAUCAGGUAUGGUCCGGGUCUGGUCUGUGCCUAAAUGGGUGACUUCCUGGGAACAAUACAGAUUCUGUGAUGGAAGA